rnacentral:rRNA from 1 species
UACAGAGGGUGCAAGCGUUAAUCGGAUUUACUGGGCGUAAAGAGCGCGCAGGCGGUCGUAUAAGUCGAAUGUGAAAGCCCCCGGCUCAACUGGGGGAGGGUCAUUCGAUACUGUUCGACUCGAAGGCAGGAGAGGGGAAGUGGAAUUCCGGGUGUAGUGGUGAAAUGCGUAGAUAUCCGGAGGAACACCAGUGCGAAGGCGACUUUCUGGCCUGUUCUUGACGCUGAGGCGCGAAAGCUAGGGGAGCAAACGGGG